rnacentral:rRNA from 1 species
UACGUAGGGAGCAAGCGUUGUCCGGAAUCAUUGGGCGUAAAGCGCGUGUAGGCGGUUACAUAAGUCUGUUGUGAAAGUCGGAGGCUCAACCUUCGAAAGCCGAUGGAUACUGUGUGACUUGAGUACGGAAGAGGAGAGUGGAAUUCCUGGUGUAGCGGUGAAAUGCGCAGAUAUCAGGAAGAACACCAAUGGCGAAAGCAGCUUUCUGGGACGGUACUGACGCUGAGACGCGAAAGCGUGGGGAGCGAACAGG